rnacentral:rRNA from 1 species
UACGAAGGGGGCUAGCGUUGCUCGGAAUCACUGGGCGUAAAGCGCACGUAGGCGGAUUGUUAAGUCAGGGGUGAAAUCCUGGAGCUCAACUCCAGAACUGCCCUUGAUACUGGCGGUCUCGAGUCCGGGAGAGGUGAGUGGAACUGCGAGUGUAGAGGUGAAAUUCGUAGAUAUUCGCAAGAACACCAGUGGCGAAGGCGGCUCACUGGCCCGGUACUGACGCUGAGGUGCGAAAGCGUGGGGAGCAACAGG